UACAGAGGGUGCAAGCGUUGUUCGGAAUUAUUGGGCGUAAAGCGCACGUAGUCGGCUUUGCAAGUCGGUUGUGAAAUCCCCGGGCUCAACCUGGGAACUGCAUCCGAGACUGCAUUGCUAGAGUAUGGGAGAGGGAAGCGGAAUUUCUGGUGUAGCAGUGAAAUGCGUAGAUAUCAGAAGGAACAUCAGUGACGAAGGCGGCUUCCUGGACCAAUACUGACGAUCAGGUGCGAAAGCGUGGGGAGCAAACAGGAUAGAAACCC
rnacentral:rRNA from 1 species